ACAUAUUCAUGGCCGACGCGGGUCUGAAAGUGUAGUAUCUGUUCUUUUCAUCCUAAUAUCUGAUAUCGGUUCUAUUUGGACCCAAAAUUUUAAAUACAUUUUCGCAAGAUGGCGAAGUGCCUGAAGCCAGGUUCCCCUCCACCGCCGUUCAGCCGAGCAUUACAAUAUCUUCGGGAUUGAUCCACGGUUU